AGUUAAGGUCCCAGGACACUGAGGAAACACUGUUGCUUGUUGUGUGCACUUUACUUCCCCCAGUGUCCAGUUCUCAUCCUCCUCCUCUUUUUCUCAACAGAACAGGUAAAUGAAAGUGGGACCCUUAUGCAGAGCUGCUGGAAUAUCUGAAGAAGUCAAAUAAACUGCAAGUUUACCUUUUAUUUGCUGCAAAGCCUGAAAAAAUUGAGGACAACAAAAGCACUGCAAUGAUCGGAGUGAUGGGGGGGGGGGGGGGGGGCAUGGUGUCCUUAAUGGAGACU